rnacentral:snoRNA from 1 species
AUCCCAUGAUAAGGACACUUACAAAGUAAUUCCUUAAAUCUUUCCCACGCCUCAUAAAGAGAUCUGUCAUCCAAUUGUCGGAAAGUUGUUAUCUCAUUACGCAACUU